GGCUCCGUAGCUCAGCUGGAUAGAGCGUCCCCCUCCUAAGGGGAAGGUCGCCCGUUCGAAUCGGGCCGGGGUCA